rnacentral:rRNA from 1 species
GACGAACGCUGGCGGCAUGCCUAAUACAUGCAAGUCGAGCGGAGUUGAUAGAAAGCUUGCUUUCUUGAUACUUAGCGGCGGACGGGUGAGUAACACGUAGGCAACCUGCCCUCAAGCUUGGGACAACUACCGGAAACGGUAGCUAAUACCGAAUACUUGUUUUCUUCGCCUGAAGGAAACUGGAAAGACGGAGCAAUCUGUCACUUGGGGAUGGGCCUGCGGCGCAUUAGCUAGUUGGUGAGGUAACGGCUCACCAAGGCGACGAUGCGUAGCCGAACUGGGAGGGGGAUGGGCCACACUGGGACUGAGCCACGGCCCAGACUCCUACGGGAGGCAGCAGUAGGGAAUCUUCCGCAAUGGGCGAAAGCCUGACGGAGCAAUGCCGCGUGAGUGAUGAAGGUUUUCGGAUCGUAAAGCUCUGUUGCCAGGGAAGAACGCUUGGGAGAGUAACUGCUCCCAAGGUGACGGUACCUGAGAAGAAAGCCCCGGCUAACUACGUGCCAGCAGCCGCCGUAACAC